GAGUGACCGUGAAGGCCGGGUUGUCCGAGCUCCUGAAAUCUCCUCUGCAAUGCCACGUGUGCAAGCAGCCGCACUCGACCAUUCCUCAACUGAAAGAGCAUCUGAGGAAGCACUGGGCACAAUAGCCAUGCAAACUCAAGGCUUGUAGGACACUCAGAGACUCGGUUAUUUAGCAAAGGUUUGUUUCAUCAGUUUUUAGGUUGUUGUCCAGUUAUUGUCCCAUUAUCAAAAGAAAAAAUGUUUCUCUUAAUGUACUAGUGGGUAUUAAAUUCCUAUGAAGGUGUCCUGUCAC